rnacentral:rRNA from 1 species
UACGGAGGAUGCAAGCGUUAUCCGGAAUGAUUGGGCGUAAAGCGUCCGCAGGUGGCAAUGUAAGUCUGCUGUCAAAGCGUCUGGCUCAACCAGAUAAAGGCAGUGGAAACUACAUAGCUAGAGUAAGGUAGGGGUAGAGGGAAUUCCUGGUGUAGCGGUGAAAUGCGUAGAGAUCAGAAAGAACACCAACGGCGAAAGCACUCUGCUGGGCCGACACUGACACUGAGAGACGAAAGCUAGGGGAGCGAAUGGG